CGAACCUCAAAAACAUUCUCAUUACGCUCAGUUGGAGAAGCCAGACACGGAGACCACAUAGUGUAUAAUUUCAUGGAUAUCACACAUCCAGAAGAAGCUGUGAGGACGGAAAGUGGGUUAAUAGUUGCUGAAGGGCCCAGGGCUUCUCCUCAGUGGAUGUGAUCUGAAUCAUGCAUUUGCAACCUUCUCUCAGCUCACCUGUUGAGAAAGCCUGCCACAGACUCUGGUAAAUUGACUGAACAGACAUUUUUUUUCUCCCUCAAGUACAGUGGCAAAAGAAGUAUUCAUGUACCAGUAACUGGCCUCUUCCGCACAGCCAAUGAAUGGCUCAGAGUCGCCCUUCACAGAUUUGCCGCCCGAGCAAGACUGAGAUCCUCCAUCAGAUUGGAGGGCAGAAAUCCCAGGACUGGCUGAGCUUAAGGAACAUGACUAUCCCUGGCCAAACAUAGAGUUAAGAAAGCAGAAGGGUGAGUCACCAGCCAAAAUCCCUAUAAUGGGCUUCUACCCUGAUGGAAUGGGACAGACUGAUGAAGAACCACCCCUCCACCUCCAGGCCUGGAGCACAGCUGGCCUCCUCUGCUCUCUUUGUACUCCUGUCUUCUAGGUGUCACCCUGGGCCCACACUGCCUUUCAGCUGCAUGGAUCCAAGGGCCUCGGGCCAGAGUAUGGCUUUCAUGAGGAAUACACACAGCGGAAGGUGGAGUGAAAGACAGCAGACCUGGCCUCUCAUUCUGAACCUGACCCCAUAUUAGAAUCAGCUGAAGAUUGAAGACACCAUCUCAAUGACCAGGCAGCUCCUCCAAGUCAAUUAAGAAGGGACAGGAGAGGCAGAAGAGAUUCACUGCUGCCUGGACAGCCGUUCUGCCUGAAAGGAGAAGUGGCAGCACCUGCUAGUUUUGAGAUCAACUUGGUAUAUUCUAAGAUAGCACUGUCUAAAGGAUGACCCACAGAACACUAGUGCUGGGACACACUUAGCAAAAACAGGCCCUUACUUGCCUAGAAAGUUUGGAGAAACUCUACAAACCUGUGAAGUCACAACAGACUUCAAUGUAUUGAACACUCUGAGACUUACAGUAAAAAAAAAAAAAAAAAACCUGUGUAACUUUAACAGUGUUUACCAGACUUAUUUUGCCAUGGAACUCUUUUCUUAAGUAACACAUGAAUGACGUGUUUGAAGGAACUGGUGUUUCUCAGGAUAAAACUCGGGGAAUUUUGCUCCUGAGCCAGAGAACUGAGUGCUUAUACCUAUGAUUGCUCUUAAAUCCCAAGCCCACCAAACCCGUAUCACUCCUCCUACCAUUCAAAGCCCUCGGCCAAUGACAGCAACCCUCAGCUCUCACUUCCCUUUACCAGCCGUGUCUCUUCUUUUCGAGACAAUGUGCAUUCUGCCCCUCAAAUACCACUUCUUAAAAUCCAUCUCCUGCACCUUUGGCCCUUCUCAUUUUCCCCACUUGGAACAUAGGGUCCAUCCCUUCAGGAUCCAGCUCUAACCUUUGCCUAUAGGGGAACCUUUCUGAACAGGUCCACUUACUCAGAACGGUUGGUUUUCAAGUUCUACUUUAUUUAAUCCUAGUGCAUCACAGACAACCUGCUGAUGGUACCCAGUUACACAGUUCUUCUGCUGGGAAUAAUUUGUCAUCUCCACCUUUCACAGUUACUCAUUCACCCUCAGGGCUCAAUCUCCUGAUACCUUUGCCCUCUCUACUGCAUUGUUGCAAUAUUCCCCACACCAGAAAUGUUUGUUUCAUUUCCUCCUGAA